rnacentral:miRNA from 1 species
CAGCUAAAUUAGUAUUUAAAAGAAACAAUGAAAAAUGUUUUAGUAUAAGUAUUUGCCAUGCAAUAUUUGAGACAUACUUGUACUAAAGUAUGAGUCACUGUUUCUUUGAAACUCAAAU